AACGCACCUUGCGCUCCCUGGUAUUCCGGGGAGCACGCCUGUUCGAGUGUCAUGAAACUCUCAAGCAAGAUAGAUUUGUUUCUGUCUUUGUUUGGAUUUGGACUUUGCUGUGUUCCAUGCAGCUGGUCUUAAAUGUAUUAGCUGGUCCUGAUGAAGGUUUGGUUCUACUCGGCGUGAUAAUUAUCUAACGUUGAGGACAGUCUCUGGGACUGGCCAGGCUCUCUUUGGAUUGCUUCUAAUCAUCUUAGGAUAAUUGCUUAAUAUCUGACCUCGAAUCAGGUGGGACUACCCGCUGAACUUAA
rnacentral:misc_RNA from 2 species